GGACACCUGCCGUAGUGGUUUGAGUGUUGAACUGUGACUCUGGAGACCAGGGUUCGAUUCCCAGCUUGGCCA
rnacentral:tRNA from 1 species